GCCCAGUAACGGCGAGUGAGCGGCAACAGCUCAAAUUUGAAAUCUGGCCCCCAGGGCCCGAGUUGUAAUUUGCAGAGGAUGCUUUUGGCGCGGUGCCUUCCGAGUUCCCUGGAACGGGACGCCAUAGAGGGUGAGAGCCCCGUCUGGUCGGACGCCUAGCCUGUGUAAAGCUCCUUCGACGAGUCGAGUAGUUUGGGAAUGCUGCUCUAAAUGGGAGGUAUAUGUCUUCUAAAGCUAAAUACCGGCCAGAGACCGAUAGCGCACAAGUAGAGUGAUCGAAAGAUGAAAAGCACUUUGAAAAGAGGGUUAAAUAGUACGUGAAAUUGUUGAAAGGGAAGCGCUUGUGACCAGACUUGGGCCCGGUGGAUCAUCCAGCGUUCUCGCUGGUGCACUCCGCCGGGUUCAGGCCAGCAUCAGUUCGCCGCGGGGGAAAAAGGCUUCGGGAACGUGGCUCCUACGGGAGUGUUAUAGCCCGUUGCAUAAUACCCUGGGGCGGACUGAGGUUCGCGCUCCGCAAGGAUGCUGGCGUAAUGGU
rnacentral:rRNA from 1 species